rnacentral:lncRNA from 1 species
CUUAGAUUUUAAAAGGUUUUUAUGAUAUCAAUUUUAUUUUUUAAAUUAAUCAAUAACUAAUUUGUGAUACGGAGCCUUCAUAGUCAUCUAAAUAUCUCCCACCUAAUGCACCUUUUAGGAGUAUCCCUACUAUACCAUUCCUGAUGAUCACUCAUACUUUGAUUGGAUACCUCCAGUGAUGAGUUCAUUACCUCACAAUGCAAGAUUCCAUUCCCCAGAAGUUCUGCUUUCUGGCACAGCACAACACAGAUUAUAGCCCUUCAGAUUCUUGAAGAUUGCUAUCAUGCUCCCAUGAAUCUUCUCUUCUUCAAGCUAGACAUAACAGCUGUUGAUCAGCUCCUGCCUGCCUGCCGCCGCCAUCCACUUUGGACAGCUGCUUCUCCCGGCCCCACCCCGGCUGCCUGCUCCACUUGGCCCUGCUUGUCUGCCCUCUGGCUCUGGCCCCGGCCCAGCAGAUUUUCUCUCGCUCACCUGGCCCACCUGAUUCAACCAAGAUUGUAAUCACCUGAUGACCUGCCUGCCCAACAAACCCAGAUCCUUGG